rnacentral:rRNA from 1 species
UGAGGAAUAUUGGACAAUGGGCGCAAGCCUGAUCCAGCAAUGCCGCGUGCAGGAUGAAGGCCUUCGGGUUGUAAACUGCUUUUGUACGGAGCGAAAAGGUCUGCCCUAAUACGGUGGGCUCAUGACGGUACCGUAAGAAUAAGCACCGGCUAACUACGUGCCAGCAGCCGCGGUAAUACGUAGGGUGCGAGCGUUAAUCGGAAUUACUGGGCGUAAAGCGUGCGCAGGCGGUUAUAUAAGACAGAUGUGAAAUCCCCGGGCUCAACCUGGGACCUGCAUUUGUGACUGUAUAGCUAGAGUACGGUAGAGGGGGAUGGAAUUCCGCGUAUAGCAGUGAAAUGCGUAGAUAUGCGGAGGAACACCGAUGGCGUAGGCAAUCCCCUGGACCUGUACUGACGCUCAUGCACGAAAGCGUGGGGAGCAAACA